UCUGGAUAUUGAGAAUCAUUGCUAGAUGGUAUCUCGAUUAGUACAGAAAUUGAUUCCUGUGCAACUAGCUUAGUGUUUGAACCUAUGGAGUCAUGCACAUAAGUCAAACAAAGUAGGAAAGAAUUGAUCUAUGUUUAUAUAUCCAAUUUAAAAGUACUUGACUUGAUUAAAUAUAUAAGCUAACUUGAUUGAGAAUUAAGUUAUGGAUCAAAUGAGAUUGAAGAAUUGACUA
rnacentral:lncRNA from 1 species